GCUUACGGCCACACCGCCUGGUUCACGCCUGAUCUCGGAAGCUAAGAUAGGUUGGGCCUGAUUAGUACUUGGAUGGGAGACCGCCUGGGAAUAACAGGUGCUGUAAGCU
ensembl:rRNA 5S_rRNA 5S ribosomal RNA